rnacentral:misc_RNA from 1 species
UGGUUCUGGCAUCGAUGAAGAACGCAGCGAAAUGCGAUAAGUAAUGCGAAUUGCAGAAUUUCAGUGAGUCAUCGAAUCUUUGAACGCACAUUGCGCCCUUUGGCAUUCCGAAGGGCAUGCCUGUUCGAGCGUCAUUUAUCCUCCCUCAAACCACCUUUUUGGUUUGGCCUUGGACGGUCUGGCGGUGGGCUCACGCCCGUCGCCCCUCCCAAAGAUAAUGACGGCGGCCUCCGUGGGACCCCCGGUACACUGAGUUCUUCACGGGACACGUACUGGAUCAACGGGUGAGACGGGGACGCCGGUCGACCUCUCUCGUCAGAGAGAACUUUUUUACUCAGGUUGACCUCGGAUCAGGUAGGAAUACCCGCUGA